rnacentral:rRNA from 1 species
GACGAACGCUGGCGGCGUGCUUAACACGUGCAAGUCGAACGGUGAAGCGCCUUCCUUUUUGGUGGGUGUGGAUGAGUGGCGAACGGGUGAGUAACACGUGAGUAACCUGCCCCCUUCUUCUGGAUAACCGCAUGAAAGUGUGGCUAAUACGGGAUAUUCUGGGUCUGUCGCAUGAUGGGUCUGGGAAAGAUAUUGUUUCGGUGGGGGAUGGGCUCGCGGCCUAUCAGCUUGUUGGUGGGGUGAUGGCCUACCAAGGCGGGGACGGGUAGCCGGCCUGAGAGGGUGGACGGUCACACUGGGACUGAGACACGGCCCAGACUCCUACGGGAGGCAGCAGUGGGGAAUAUUGCACAAUGGGCGCAAGCCUGAUGCAGCGACGCCGCGUGAGGGAUGGAGGCCUUCGGGUUGUGAACCUCUUUCGCCAGUGAAGCAGGCCUGCCUCGUUUGUGGGUGGGUUGACGGUAGCUGGAUAAGAAGCGCCGGCUAACUACGUG